rnacentral:rRNA from 1 species
CCUACGGGAGGCAGCAGUGGGGAAUAUUGCGCAAUGGGCGAAAGCCUGACGCCGCGACGCCGCGUGAGGGAUGAAGGUCUUCGGAUCGUAAACCUCUGUCAGCAGGGAAGAACGGUCACUGUGCUAAUCAGCAGUGCAUUGACGGUACCUGCAAAGGAAGCACCGGCUAACUCCGUGCCAGCAGCUGCGGUAACACGGAGGGGGCGAGCGUUAAUCGGAAUUUCUGGGCGUAAAGCGCUCGUAGGCGGUAUGUCAAGUCAAGGGUGAAAUCCCCGCGCUCAACGUGGGAACUGCCUGUGAAACUGGCAAACUGGAGUGUGUGAGAGGAUAGUGGAAUUCCAGGUGUAGGAGUGAAAUCCGUAGAUAUCUGGAGGAACAUCAGUGGCGAAGGCGACUAUCUGGCACAUAACUGACGCUGAGGAGCGAAAGCGUGGGUAGCAAACAGGAUUAGAUACCCGGGUAGUC